GCUUUCCUGGUCGCUCCAGAACGCUUUCUGGACAAGAGCCCCAAGAAGAAAGAACUGAACAAGAGCUCCAGCAAAACGAAAAUAAUGAUGAGGAAAAUACUAAUAAUGAUGAAAGCAACGAGACCUUCAACAUUAAUGAGAAUAAUUUCUUCGCAAUUGAAAGCACAGAUGUUGGGAUUCACGAUGCUUACAACGAAGAAGGUGGAGGAGAUGUUGAUGUUCAUCAACCAAGGAGGGGUCGAAACCACAACAUUUGUGGCAAUACAUUUUUUGCAAAGAAAGGCGAGCGUGUUGGGAUUAGCAAAGUUGGCAACAAGUACAACAACAACUCGAGCCUACCAUUUCUUCUUGGUCUUCUUGUUCUUCUUGUUAUUGCUUCUUCUUUUUUCUUUUAUAUAUCAAUGGAGAGUAAGCAAAACAAAAAAUGAAGCAAGCGGCUUCAGUGAAAAAAAAACAGGACGACCAAGAAGAACAAAAAUAAAUAGUUGGCGGAAAACUAGAUUUUAUGGGGCAGGAAAAACUAGAUUUAUGUAUGGACUUGUUUUGUGGCAAUCAAUAAGUCAGAUUUCUUCGUUAUUAGUUC